rnacentral:rRNA from 1 species
CAAUCGCGUAUGUUAAGGUUAUUGUGGUUUUAAAUAAAGCUUGUAGUUGGAAUUUCUGCUGAGGAUGACCGGUCCGCCUUCUGGGUGUGCAUGUGGCUCAGCCUCAGGCCUGACAUCUUCCUAAAGAGCGUGUCUGCGCUUCAUUGUCAUUGUGUGCUGUGGUAUGUCGGACAUUUACUUUGAGGCAACUAGAGUGUCUCAAGCAAAUGCGAUUGCCUUGAAUACAUUAGCAUGGAAUAAUAAACAUAGGACCUCAGUUCUAUUGUGUUGGUUUCUAGAGGUCAGGUCAUGGUCGACAGGGAUUUUGGGGGCCUUCCUGUUUAACUGUCAGUGAUGAAAUUCUUGGGUUUGUUAAAGACGGACUACUGCGAAAGCAUUUGCCAAGAAUGUUUUCAUUGG